UAUGGAAAGAUGUAGGCAAGCCA
rnacentral:siRNA from 1 species